rnacentral:rRNA from 1 species
UUCCGGUUGAUCCUGCCGGACCCUACUGCUAUCGGGAUGGGACUAAGACAUGCUAGUCGUGCGCCUCCAAGCCAUGGUGGAGGCGCGGCGCACAGCUCAGUAACACGUGGUUAACCUGCCCUUGAGACGGAAACACCCCCGGGAAACUGGGGCUAAUUUCCGAUAGGUGAAGGCUCCUGGAAUGGAUCUUCGCCUAAAGGGCGCUUAGGCCAUGCUUCUAGGCGCUGCCCAAGGAUGGGGCCGCGGCCGAUCAGGUUGUUGGUGAGGUAAUGGCUCACCAAGCCUUUAACCGGUUCGGGCCGUGGGAGCGGGAGCCCGGAGAUGGGCACUGAGACAAGGGCCCAGGCCCUACGGGACGCACAGUUCGCGAAAACUCCGCAAUACGCGAAGGCGUGACGGGGCUAUCCCGAGUGCCGUCCGCUGAGGAUGGCUUUUCCCUAGUGUAGAUAGCUGGGGGAAUAAGGAGAGGGCAAGUCUGGUGUCAGCCGCCGCGGUAAUACCAGCUCUCCGAGUGGUGGGGACGUUUAUUGGGCCUGAAGCAUCCGUAGCCAGCUGAGCAAGUCCCCAGUUAAAUCCAGCGACUAAUCGUUGGUCUGCGGGGGAUACUGCUCGGCUAGGGGGCGGGAGAGGCCGUCGGUAUUCCCGGGGUAGGGGUGAAAUCCUAUAAUCCCGGGAGGACCACCAGUGGCGAAGGCUGUUGGCUAAAACAUGCCCGACGGUGAGGGAUGAAAGCUGGGGGAGCGAACCGGAUUAGAUACCCGGGUAGUCCCAGCUGUAAACGAUGCAAGCUAGGUGUUAGGGCGGCCACGUGCCGCUCUAGUGCCGCAGGGAAGCUGUUAAGCCUGCCGCCUGGGGAGUACGGCCGCAAGGCUGAAACUUAAAGGAAUUGGCGGGA